GAAAAUUCUGUUGUCUGAAUGAGUUGGAUUGAAAUUUUAGAAAUCUCCCACCAAUGGAUUAAGGCAUUUCCCUCUAAAACUUGGUCAAAACCCUAGUGGAGUAAAAAAGUGAUAGGCAUCAGACCACAAUUAGUAGUGUUGUCUGAUUAUAUGGGGAGUCCACUCAUUUAAUUUUUGAUUUUGUCCAAGGCAAAUUGCCUUUGCCUUUUGUCUAAGCCCGAUUUCAUUCAUUCUAUCUAAAACCAUAUGCCUUUUUCUCAAACUGGGCAUCUCUCAAGUCGGUAGCGAAACCCCAACCAUCGACCACAGAGCACCCGCGGCCCUACCGGAAUCCUAAUCUCAGAUUCAUCAACGGAGGUGCAUUUCAAGAUUUCAGCAGCGGUGGUGCAUUUGAAGAAAACCCUGAUAGCCCAUCUAACAAUCGUCUGAGAAGGACCCGUUGAAGGAAGUAGAGGUACGAGUUGAUCUAGAGGAAGGUCCACCAGAUCCUAGAUCGAAAAUUUGGGGGAUUAAUUUGAAGAAGGAGAAGAAGAAAUUGGGGCCAAUUUUUCGGAGGGCUUGAAGUCUUCAUCGAAGUUGAUUGACGCGUUUUUGUUUGGUUGCCCAAAAUACCACCGGCACUCUCUUUCUCACCUUUAUCAGUUGAUCAAUCAGGAGCAGUCGAGCUAAUAGCUGGAAAUUGGAAUCAGUUGUAGAUCUUUGAAACAAAGGCGAGUACUGAAGUUUCCUUUUACUUAUCACCUUAAUUUGCUUCAUUAACCUCUGCUACUUGCAAUUUAUGUUAUCCCAAUUUACUUUUUGAUUUAUUAUAUAUACACGUGUGUGUGCUUAUUGUGCUCCUUAAACCAUUAUCUUAUUGGCCAGAAAUUAACAGUCAAAGACAGGUCUCAAGUUUAGAUAGUUCACAUUUUACACUUCUUCUUCUUCUGUUCUUUUUUCAUCUUUCUCCUUUAGAGUGGAAUAUAUGAUAUCCACUAUCUGCUUUGCUUUGUUCACACCAAAGAGGAAUAAUCUUUUGUGCAUUAAUGCUUUGCUCUUACAGAGUAAUCCUUAUUUUAGAAUAGCGUUUUAUCACUUAAUAGUGUUAUAAUCUCAUUGUCUCUGCAUAGUGAUCCUCCGUAGUCAAGAGGCCAGCUAAACAUAAAUCAAUGGCCAUUGGAAUUUGUUAGAAAUAAUUGGAACGCUGUUCUUCUAAAUAAGUAAUGCUUAUAGUAAAUGUAAGUCACCAAUUGUUGAUUCAUCCAAAAAAAAAAAAAUUCACCAAUUGUUGAGACUUGAGUUUCAUUUAUGUCCUGUCUCAUAUUUGUGUUUCAUGUACUCUUGGCCUUUGUGGGCAGAAAAACAAGUAUUUAUGAAGUUCUCCAGACAAUAUCGUGUUCUCUUGCUUCAGAGAGAGGGGAGAAGUUGGGUGAUUCAGUGAGUUUUCCUCAACUUCGUGAUAAAACUACAAGUCUGGCUUUUCUUUUCUUUUUACAAUUCCUUUCUUUUUGGUUUCCUUCUUAUGUUGGAUAUAAGGUUCGGUUAGAGACUUAGAAGGCAUGAAAGGAAGGGAUACAUGCCUUCUCUUCUGCACCACUAGCAUUUUUGUUGAGAAGAUUGCUAGUUGAUGGAAAUUUGAAAGGUAUAACUCAUGUCAUUGUGGAUGAGAUUCUCGAACGCGGAAUGAAUGAAGAUUUUCUGCUCAUUGUUCUCAAGGAUCUCCUUCCUUCGGCCAGAAUUGAGGUUGAUUCUGAUGAGUGCAACCCUAGAUUCUGAGCUUUUCUGGCAGGGCUCAGAUAAUUCAUGUUCCAGGUCUUACAUACCCUGUUCGAACUCAUUUUCUGUAGGAUGUUCUGGAAAGUACGGGUUGCAGGUUAACUCCAUACAAUCAGAUUGAUGAAAGUGCAAGGCAUACACUUAUGAGUGUAUUAUUAUAUUACCAUCUUGUGGUGUUUAGUUUUGUUUUGACUUAUUUACAAUAUUUGCUUCUCACCUACAAUUCACAUUUUUGGUUCUUAACUUUUUCCACAGGUGAAAAGUGCCAGAGUAUUUGAAGAUCAUUGGGGCCUUGGAUGAGAACGAGAAUCUGACUAUUUUAGGACGCUAUCUAACUAUGCUUACUAUGGAGCCAAAAUUUGGAAAGAUGCUCUUGGUAGGUGCCAUCUUCAACUGCCUCGAUCCUGUUUUGACUAUUGUUUCCGGUCUUAGUGUCAGAGAUCCUUUCUUAACACCAUUUGACAAGGAAGAUCUUGCGGAUGCUGCUAAAUCUCAGUUUUCCCGAGACCACAGUGAUCACCUUGCACUUGUGCGUGCCUAUGAGGGCUGGAAGGUAGCUGAAAGAGACUUUGCUGGAUAUGACUACUGCUGGAAAAAUUUUCUUUCAGCACAAUCAAUGAAAGCUAUUGAUUCUCUCAGGAAGGAGUUCUACUCUUUGAAAGCUAGUGCCUACACCUCACACACACACAUAUAUAUAUAACCCAGAUUAGGAAGCUAUACGUACUAGUUUUUUGCCUUAGAUGUUCUAUACUGUGAUGUUUUUUGGGUUGCCUUUAUCGAUCAUGUCUUUAGUUUCAUAGAUGGGUUUUAUUGAACUAAUGCUCAGGUUCUGUAAUGUACUGAAUGAUUUGCCAGUUUGAUGCAAUGGCAUUUUAUGGAUUUCCAGAUUACCAACGAA